rnacentral:rRNA from 1 species
ACAUGCAAGUCGAGCGGUAACAUUUCUAGCUUGCUAGAAGAUGACGAGCGGCGGACGGGUGAGUAAUGCUUGGGAACAUGCCUUGAGGUGGGGGACAACAGUUGGAAACGACUGCUAAUACCGCAUAAUGUCUAACGGACCAAAGGGGGCUUCGGCUCUCGCCUUUAGAUUGGCCCAAGUGGGAUUAGCUAGUUGGUGAGGUAAUGGCUCACCAAGGCGACGAUCCCUAGCUGGUUUGAGAGGAUGAUCAGCCACACUGGGACUGAGACACGGCCCAGACUCCUACGGGAGGCAGCAGUGGGGAAUAUUGCACAAUGGGCGCAAGCCUGAUGCAGCCAUGCCGCGUGUGUGAAGAAGGCCUUCGGGUUGUAAAGCACUUUCAGUCAGGAGGAAAGGUUAGUAGUUAAUACCUGCUAGCUGUGACGUUACUGACAGAAGAAGCACCGGCUAACUCCGUGCCAGCAGCCGCGGUAAUACGGAGGGUGCGAGCGUUAAUCGGAAUUACUGGGCGUAAAGCGUACGCAGGCGGUUUGUUAAGCGAGAUGUGAAAGCCCCGGGCUCAACCUGGGAACUGCAUUUCGAACUGGCAAACUAGAGUGUGAUAGAGGGUGGUAGAAUUUC